rnacentral:rRNA from 1 species
UACGGAGGAUGCAAGCGUUAUCCGGAAUUAUUGGGCGUAAAGCGUCCGCAGGUGGUUAUGUAAGUUUGCUGUCAAAGCGUCUAGCUCAACUAGAUACAGGCAGUGAAAACUACAAGACUAGAGUUUGGUAGGGGUCACGGGAAUUCCCAGUGUAGCGGUGAAAUGCGUAGAGAUUGGGAAGAACACCAGCGGCGAAAGCGCGUGACUGGGCCUGAACUGACACUCAUGGACGAAAGCUAGGGGAGCGAAAGGG